UUCCUGGUUCCGGUGGCGGGAUUUGUCUUCGUUGUGCAUGAACACUUCCGGCGCACUUCCACCAUGGCUGAAACAAAGGCGAGAUGUCACUGCUCUCUGUUCCACUUUAUACAUCUAACAAACAACACCAACCCUACUUAAGUUUUCAUGGAUUCCCGACUGAAAUGAGUCUAAGGAAGAAGUGGAUUCAAGCGGUUCGCCGGGAUGAAGGGCCAAACUUUAAAAUAAAACAAGGUAGCAUGUUUGUUUGUAGCCGGCACUUUAGUGAAUCAGACUACAAACGCUACAGCUAGCAACCAACCGGGGUCACACCAAGCGACUGAAAAUCGGGUCUGUACCCUCCCGUUUCCAGUGGAACAACUGGGGACUGCCAAGAAGGGGGUCUGUUUAUAAAAGAGCAUCAACUCGCUUAGGCCAUGACGUUCACCCAUCCCUUCCCCUGGAGCAACCGCUGCCCUGUGAAUAAGAGCCGAUGGAGGAGAUCUCAGCUUCGGUGGUGAUGACAGAACAUGAUUUCGGUUCUGCUCCUAAACCAGGUGCACUGGAUGCUGCUGCUGUAAACAUACAGCAAUUGGAAGAAACAGUCAAGGAGCUGUCACAGCUGAAAGUGGUUCAAGUGCAUUUUCACAGAUUCUGUGUCUCAGACGCGGACAUCCUUUUUUACACCAGAUUCACGUCAAGAGAUGUUUUUUGUGACUUCUGGGAGGUUAUUCAACCAUCUGCCUCCAUGUUGGUUUAUUGGUUGAAAGCUCAGAAAAAGAAACAAACAUUUGAACCCAUUUCUCCCAGUCCAACGUGUAGACUGCAACUGGUUGAGUUUUUUCUCUUCUGCUGCCGGGUUGCUGCAGGCCUGCAAGAGAAGGUGCUGGCUGACAUGUUUCAGGUCAGUGUGUCCACUGUCUACCAUGUUGUUAUACCGUGGGCCAACUACCGUUACCUGCUCCUUGGCUCCCUCCCCAUCUGGAUGAGUAAACUGCAAGUCAAGAACACCAUGCCAAGAUAAUUUGUGCAGUACAGUCCAGAUGUUCAGAGCUGACUGAACGAAGUGGACUGCUGGAUUUACUGGAGCCAGGAGAUGGCUGCAUGGCAGACAAGGGUUUCACCAUCGAGAAGCCACUAGCUGAUCGUGGGGCAACGCUGAUUAUACCACCCUUCAAGAUGACAGUUCACUGAAGAGGAUGCUCUGAAAACACAAGCAAUCGCUCGACUUCGAAUCCUCGUAGAAAGAGCAAUAGGCAGAGUCAAGGAAUACCGCAUCUGGGAACACACUGUCCUUUCACCUUGUCUGCGAAACAGUCAAUCAGCUGUGGACCGUCUGCUGUGUGAUGACCAACUUCCAGGGACCACUUGAUUUAAAAGGCUACAUCCCUGUUGAAUAGUGUUUCUACUCAAACAUGUACCUAUAAAUAUUAAAUAUAAUAUAUAAAUAUUAAAACGAGAGGCACUGAA